CGUAUAUUAAAGUUGUUGCGGUUAAAGAGCUCGUAGUUGGAUUUCUGUUGAGGACGGCCGGUCCGCACUAUGUGCGUGUAUCUGGUUCGGCCUCGGCAUCCUCUUGAGGAACGUUUCUGCGCUUGAUUGCGUGGAGCGGUAUUCAAGACUUUUACUUUGAGGAAAUUAGAGUGUUCACGGCAGGCAAGCGCCUUGAAUAUGUUAGCAUGGAAUAAUAAUAUAGGAUCUUGGUUCUAUUUGUUGGUUUCUAGGGCUAAGGUAAUGAUUAAUAGGGAUAAUUGGGGGCAUUUGUAUUAACGCGUCAGAGGUGGAAUUCUUGGAUUGCGUUACGACAAACUACUGCGAAAGCAUUUGCCAAGGAUGUUUUCAUUGAUCAAGAACGAAAGUAUGGGGAUCGAAGAUGAUUAGAUACCGUCGUAGUCUAUACCAUAAACUAUGCCGACUAGGGAUUGGAGGUCGUUCUUUUUAUGACUCCUUCAGCACCUUAUGAGAAAUCAAAGUCUUUGGGUUCCGGGGGGAGUAUAGUCGCAAGGCUGAAACUUAAAG
rnacentral:rRNA from 1 species